UUCAUCUUCAUCUUCAUCUUCAUCAACCUCUCAGACAAAUGAAGACCUUCACUUGCUUCCUUCUCUUGGCUACUUUGCUUCUCUCAGGAACAGGAUUGCUCUCCACUGCAAGCAGACCUGAUCCCAACUCAUCAAAAGGCAAGCCCACCAAUCCAAGGAACAAAGCUGGUGGAAAUGAUGCUGGAAUAGGCGGAUUCUUUGGGCCUGGAUCCGGGUUUGGUAUACCCGGGCUUGGAAAAGGAUGGGGAAAUGGGAUUGUUGGUGGCGGAUAUGGAGCGGGGUUUGGAGGUCCAAAUGGAGGGUACUCAAAAGGCGGUAUUAUUAGGCCUACCGCGGUGUGCAAAGAAAGGGGUCCUUGUUACAGGAAAAAGCUUACAUGUCCUGCCAAGUGUUUCACCUCCUAUAGCCAGUCAGGGAAGGGAUAUGGAGCUGGUGGCGGCGGUGGUGGGUGCACCAUUGACUGUAAGAAGAAGUGUAUUGCUUAUUGUUAGAGAAAGAGGAAGGCGUUGGAUGGUGGCAGGCUCUAGCCGGUGAUACUUUCUGCUAUGUAUUGUAUGUCAUGAUGCGUGUUCACAUAUAUAAAAUAACUCAUUUGAGCUACUGGUUUUCAGAUAUUUUCCUUUCCCCUCGUCUGAUCUUGGUUGAAAGACAUAUAUUUUGGAUCUAUACAUAUAUGUUAUGAAAAUAAAUGAUCAGUGUGCUAAGCUUAAUCUGUCGCUCACAAGUUUGAUUAGUUUUUUGUGUGGUAUAUAUGCAAGUGUUGCUGUUCAAAAAGAGGCAGAGGUAUCUGGCAGACAGGCACUAAUGACAGUUUACCAUCUUUAAUUCAA
rnacentral:misc_RNA from 1 species